GGACAGUCCGCAGCAGGGGCAGCAGCCGCAUCGCCCCCGGGGUCCGGUCUGGUAUGGUCCGGCCGGUCCCGGCCCGCUCCCCAGUCGCCGCGAGAAAGCUUUGCGGAGCGGCAGCAGAGUCCUUUUGCCCUGGAAAGAAAUGUCCUCGCCACGAGGAGCUCUCUCCCCUUCCUCCUCUGCCCUUCUGGAGAAGGAAGCCACACAGGGCACCCGGCCAGGCACCCUUGGGCAGGGCCGUGACCGCUCACCAGCAUCUUCCUGCGCUCAUCGAUCUGACAGAAUCAGUAUGCACUGAGCACCAUCUGUGUCCCAGGAGAAGGCUGCCCUGCCCUCCAACAGCCAUUGAAAGACAUGCACACACAACUGACGAGACAUGACAAAGGUGAGAAAGGGUGGGAAGGUGGUGUGAGUGCAUGUGUGUGGCAUAGGAGAAGGGUUCCCAGCCUCCAUGGGGCAGGAUGGAGCCGGGAAACCCCUCACAGUUUCAGGGAUCCCCUGAUUCAUUAUGACUCCCAUAUUCACCUCUCAAGUCCCUGUUUCUCAGCUGAGCCCACAAAACAUCUCCUGGAAGUCACUUCAAGCAAAACGCAUCCCAAACCACCAUAUCCAUCUCUAACACACCUGUGAGCACAGCAGUGUUUUCUGUGUGUGUGUGUGAUGUGUGCACAUGCCUAUGUAGCUCUCUUCUGUGUAUCUCCCAAAGUCCCACAUAAAGUGUCAGUUUCUUAAGACAAAAAUGUUAAUUGUUGGAGAUGUGUUUGAAACUGUAAGAUUACAUUAAAUGAGCUCUGUAAACUGUGAAACCUAAGUUCCAAUGCUACUGGUUCUGGGACUGUAAAAUUCCACAUCUUUGCCUUUAAGAGAGAACUAACUAUAAAUGCAAAGCAGGACUGUGAGUGCCCCCUUGUGGAGAGACCUGUCGCUGCUGCGUCGGGGCCUCCAGAGCCAGGGCCCCGCCUUCUCACCAGCUCUGCCCCUUGUGUGGGUGACCUCACCCAGGUUGAAAGCCUGGAAGUGGCUUUUGACUCUGGGCCUCCUUCCUUCCCUCGUUUAGCUGGCUUUGAGAGCUGCGGCACCUCUCCCUUUCCUCCCUCCAUCUCAGGCCAACUUCCUGCUGGGCCCCACUCCAGCCAGGCUCCCUCCUAACCUCUGACCCACCUUGGCCUCCCUGCCUCCAACCUGCCUCAGUCCAUCCUGCAAACACUCCCCAGCUCAGGGCCCUCCUGAAGGGCUUUCUAGACUGUUUUGGCCGUGCCCACUUCAGGCCAGUGUUCAGCCUCAGCCUCUGCCACGCACAGCCCACAGAUGCCAGGAUCCUCGCCUGAGAGAACGCCCUUCCUCUCCUCGGCCACGGCUCCCAUCUGCAGCCUCUUGAAACCAGUUAUGGCCCUUGCAGAGGCACCUCAGCUUUCACCCCUGUCCACGGCUGGUGCAUGACAGAGCGCUUGAACUUUGUGGAUGCCUCUCCUGCCUCCCUAGGCCAUGAUCUUCUUGAGAGUGGAAAUAUGGCUCAUUCAUCUUCGUCCUCCCACAGAGCCCUCAGCACACACACAGCCACUCACUUGCUGUCACUCUAGGGCCCACAAAUAGGGGCAGACAGAGCCAGAG